ACAAACACCCAGGAGCAAGAGUGAGGACCAAUCCGUGUCUAUUAUGGGUUCCAUGGAGCCAGCGGUCUGGGGACCAGAAAUGGAUCCAUGUCCGUCCAGAUCCUUUUACGUCACACUCUUACGCUCCCGUGGCGUCACCCUAACCAGAAGUUUUGAGUUUUCCAGACGGCGUCCUCAGCCUCGCGGGCCGCGACACAGCAGGACGAGUGAUGCUCGUGGGAUCUUCACCCAUGAGCGGGAAGAGUGGAGAACACAAAGCCCUCCUCCAUCCUCCUCCCAGUGGGCCUAGAGAAUGCCCUGAUCAGCCAACCGUCUGUCUUCAAUCGGGACGUACAGGUCAACUAUUGAGUUUGUCUCUGAAGCAUCUCUCCACCCACCACUCCACCUCCACCCUUUUUUUGUGUGUGGCCAAAAGCGAACAAUAAAGUAGGUUACAAAGCCCUCAACUCGCCAUGGAAUAAGGGAGCUUUUUUAUAUCAAGCACUCUGAACACCCUCCUUCCUUUAAAGGGCUUAACCGCUUUCUGGUCUUAAAUAACCUUGUAUACAAUCUAUGUAUACAGACUAAGCUCCAACAAGGUGAUAAUACAGUCGACAAGCACCGAAUCCUUCAGAGUUAACAUUUAGUCCUUUAAUACAAACAACGGACAGGUUCCAUUCCGCACGUCAGGUGCCUGGAAAUUCCGCGCAAAAUAUGGCGGGCCGAAUCUAUAUAAUUACUCUGAUCGAAUUUACGCAAGAACUUUUUUGAUGACAAAACAUUGUUUCGGUAUAGCGAGACAGACACACGCAUCAAUAUAUAUAUAUGCAUUCCAGAAGGCAGCAAAAAAGACACUAACACACACUGUUAACCUCUCCCUUAUACAAGCACGCACGGUGCACGAACAACUGACACAAACACAAAUGCGCAUGGACGGACGCAAGCGUGAACGCACGCGUGCA